UCUUCUGUCAGCUGAGUUGGUUAGGUGGUCUGAGUAGCACUCCUAGGUCCUGGGUUCGACUCCCCGUGGGAGCG
rnacentral:tRNA from 7 species